AACGAACGUUAGCGGCGCGCCUAACACAUGCAAGUCGAGCGAGAAAGGGCUUCGGCCCCGGUAAAGCGGCGCACGGGUGAGUAACACGUGGAUAACCUACCCCUUGGUGGUGGAUAACCUUCCGAAAGGAGGGCUAAUACAGCGUAAGACCACGACUUCGAAAGAGGUUGGAGGUAAAAGUGGGCCUCUGUACACAAGCUCACGCCAGGGGAUGGGUCCGCGGCCCAUCAGCUAGUUGGUAGGGUAACGGCCUACCAAGGCGAAGACGGGUAGCUGGUCUGAGAGGAUGAUCAGCCACACUGGAACUGAGACACGGUCCAGACUCCUACGGGAGGCAGCAGUGGGGAAUCUUGCGCAAUGGACGAAAGUCUGACGCAGCGACGCCGCGUGAGUGAUGAAGGCCUUCGGUUGGUUAAAGACGUCUGUGGAGAGGGACGGAAGUAAAGUAGUACGUCGAAUAGACGGACGAUGAUGACGGUACUUUUACGUACUAAGACACCGCGUAACUACUGUGCACGCAGCCGCGGUACGU
rnacentral:rRNA from 1 species